UACGGAGGAUCCGAGCGUUAUCCGGAUUUAUUGGGUUUAAAGGGUGCGUAGGCGGGUUUGUAAGUCAGUGGUGAAAGUUUCCGGCUUAACCGGGAGAAUGCCGUUGAGACUGCAAAUCUUGAGUGCAAGCGAGGUAAGUGGAAUGUGUUGUGUAGCGGUGAAAUGCAUAGAUAUAACACAGAACACCGAUUGCGAAGGCAGCUUACUAGUAUGUAACUGACGCUGAGGCACGAAAGCGUGGGGAGCAAACAGGAUUAGAUACCCUGGUAGUCCACGCAGUAAACGAUGAAUACUAGCUGUAUGCGAUAGACAGUAUGCGGCGGAGCGAAAGCAUUAAGUAUCCCACCUGGGGAGUACGUCGGCAACGAUGAA
rnacentral:rRNA from 1 species